AGAGUUUGAUCCUGGCUCAGAACGAACGCUGGCGGCAGGCCUAACACAUGCAAGUCGAACGUGAAGCUGGAGCUUGCUCCAGUGGAAAGUGGCAGACGGGUGAGUAACGCGUGGGAAUUUACCCAGUGGUUCGGAAUAACUUCGGGAAACCGGAGCUAAUACCGAAUACGCCCUCCGGGGGAAAGAUUUAUCGCCAUUGGAUGAGCCCGCGUCGGAUUAGCUUGUUGGUGGGGUAAAAGCCUACCAAGGCGACGAUCCGUAGCUGGUCUGAGAGGAUGAUCAGCCACACUGGGACUGAGACACGGCCCAGACUCCUACGGGAGGCAGCAGUGGGGAAUAUUGCACAAUGGGCGCAAGCCUGAUGCAGCCAUGCCGCGUGAGUGAAGAAGGCCUUAGGGUUGUAAAACUCUUUCACCGGUGAAGAUAAUGACGGUAGCCGGAGAAGAAGCCCCGGCCAACUCCGUGCCAGCAGCCGCGGUAAUACGGAGGGGGCUAGCGUUGUUCGGAAUUACUGGGCGUAAAGCGCGCGUAGGCGGGCUGGUCAGUUGGGGGUGAAAUCCCGGGGCUUAACCUCGGAACUGCCCUCAAUACUACCAGUCUAGAGAUCGAGAGAGGUAAGUGGAAUUCCUAGUGUAGAGGU
rnacentral:rRNA from 1 species